rnacentral:rRNA from 1 species
CUACGUGCCAGCAGCCGCGGUAAUACGGAAGGUCCGGGCGUUAUCCGGAUUUAUUGGGUUUAAAGGGAGCGUAGGCUGGAGAUUAAGUGUGUUGUGAAAUGUAGACGCUCAACGUCUGACUUGCAGCGCAUACUGGUUUCCUUGAGUACGCACAACGUUGGCGGAAUUCGUCGUGUAGCGGUGAAAUGCUUAGAUAUGACGAAGAACUCCGAUUGCGAAGGCAGCUGACGGGAGCGCAACUGACGCUGAAGCUCGAAGGUGCGGGUAUCGAACAGGAUUAGAUACCCUGGUAGUCCGCACAGUAAACGAUGGAUGCCCGCUGUUGGUACGUGGUAUCAGCGGCUAAGCGAAAGCAUUAAGCAUCCCACCUGGGGAGUACGCCGGCAACGGUGAAACUCAAAGGAAUUGACGGGGGCCCGCACAAGCGGAGGAACAUGUGGUUUAAUUCGAUGAUACGCGAGGAACCUUACCCGGGCU